UUUUCCCAAUGGUCAGGAUCCAUUGGAGGAAAUACAAGCUGGCCAUGUUGGAAACAAUUGAGAAGCAGAAGAAAACAGUGGUCAUUGCAGGAGAUGGCAGACAUGAUAGCAUGGGCCAUUUUGCAAAAUAUUGUGCUUACACAAUAUUUUGUUGCUCUGUGCCCAUGAUUCUCCAAUUUGAUCUAAUUCAAAGAAACGAGGCGGGAAGUAGUCCAGCCAUGGAAUACAUCGGUUUUCAAAGAUGUAUGGAUUACAUGCUGAACUGUAGACUCGAUAUUUCUACCAUGGUGACAGACUGCCACAAUUCAAUAUAGAAGCACAUGCGUGAGAAUCUGAAUCAAAUAACACAUUAUUUUGACCUAUGGCACAUUAAGAAAAGUUAGUACAGUUAUUGUAUAAAAGAUGUAGGUUGUGUUCUGUUUCGUCAUUGUGGCUAAGUUCAGCAGCUAACAGAAAACCAUCCUUUAAGGUCUUUUCACCUUCCUUCAAUUUUUUAUUCUUUUCAUUUGAUAAAUGCUUUCAUAUUUGCUCAAUCUGCAGAGGUCCUGAUCCAAAAUGUC